AUGGAGGAUUCCAAGGGGAGCGACGGCGGCGGCGGCGAGAGGCCCGGCGCCGACCACAACCCUAGCCCGGAUCAGCCCCCGCCGGUCGCCGCUCCCGGAGGAGGGGACGAUGCCGCUGCGGCUGCUGCUGCUGCGGCGGCCUUGGCCGAGGACGAUGCGCGGCGCCCGUUCACGGCCCUCAGCCAGGUCGACGCCGACCUCGCCCUGGCGCGCGUCCUCCAGGAGCAGGAACGGGCGUAUAUGAUGCUCCGGAUGAACGGAGUCGGCGGCGGCGGCGGCGAGGGCAGCGACUACGGGAGCUCGGAGGCCGGGAGCUACGAGUACGACGAGGAUGCCGAGGAGGACUACGAGGAGGAGCUCGAGAACCACCUCCGCGUCCACCACCACGAGCACCCAGGCGGCGGCGAGGGUGAUGGGGACGAUGAUCUCGAGGCUGAUGGCGAGGGCGAGGGCGAGGGCCAGGACGAAGGCUCUGAGGAGAGCGAGUACGAGGAGGAGGGGUUCGAUGAGGAUGAGGAGGUGGAGGAUGUGGAGCUAGACCCUGCAGAGUACGAGGACGACGAGGCUUAUGCGCGGGCGCUUCAGGACGCUGAGGAGCGUGAGGUUGCCGCGCGGCUUAUGGCUCUCGCUGGGAUCAGCGAGUGGCGGGCGGUGGAGCAUGUCGAGGAUCACAUAAACGACGCGCAGGAUUCAUGGCAAGAGGUUGAUCCAGACGAGUACUCUUAUGAGGAAUUAGUUGCUUUGGGUGACGUAGUUGGUACAGAAAGUAGAGGUCUCUCUGCUGAUACACUUGCUUCCUUACCUUCAGUAACUUACAAGACAAAAGAUAUGCAAGAUGGCAACACAGAACAAUGUGUAAUUUGUCGUGUGGAAUUUGAGGAAGGUGAAUCUUUGGUUGCACUUCCCUGCAAUCAUUCAUACCAUCCUGACUGCAUUAAUCAGUGGCUUCAAAUAAAUAAGUUGACUAUGUGCAGGUAUGCCCUAUGUGUAGCGCAGAAGUUUCUACCUCAGCAAACAAGCAGGCAUGACCAACAGUCGUUGGUAAACCAACUUCAUCUUCAGAAAAAAAAAAGAAAAACAAACCAGUUGUUGGCACUUUGUGGGAGUAUGUAG
rnacentral:rRNA from 1 species